UUGCUCUCCAGUUCCUCUGUGGAUGUGUGUGUCAUAUAGGAAAAAUGUCACAGCUGGAGUGAGAAAUCUGGGAGUGGCAUGAAAAGCAAGAGCCUGGAUGACCCCGGAAGAAUGAAACAGUGAACAAGAAAGGGUAAGCCGCCAAGAAUGGAGGAGGACCAGAGCAGCAACCAGAGUGAAGCCAGCCCAGCUUGAAGUCAGGAGAGGCAGACGUGAGGAAGACGGGAACUCCCAGGGAGUCUCUGUGGAGAGGGGACAAGCUUUCACCUUUGUUUAACCUCGUCUUUCGUGGUUUCAUCUCUCUGGAGUUCCCUGGGGAUGGGUGCCAGAGUUCCACUUUUGCAGAGGAGACACGUGACCGACCACGGAGACGACAGCCUUUUUACCCCAUUGUGACUCCACUCAGCCCCUGAAAAACCCUGAUGACCCCUUUUGGAAACAGUCAGCAAUGGUUAUUCUGGAGAGUGUGUGGGAUCAGAAUGCCUCUGGGCAAGAGCUGGUUCUUAGUACAAAUUCAAGUUGGCCCAUGAUCUUUCAGACAGUGGCUUCUAUGAAUGGGAGGAAGAUCUCUGAAUUGUACUCAACAACAAAUGUCAUGAGCCUAGAAUCAUCACAGUCCUAAGCCAAACAAAUACAAGAAAGCACCCAUACUAGAAAGCGGAGGGGGGCUCAUCACUGAAAGAAAGCCAACCUUGUGGAGAUGGGAGCAACAUUCUAGCGGGACUUGGAGGGAGAAUUUGUCAGAGGAAGUUAGAAGAGGUCAUCAGGAAUCAUUAUCUCUACAUCAUUUUAACAUCUCAACUGAGCUUGCUCCAGGCAGAAUGCAAGAUGCAAGAUAAGUCCAAGCAAAUAGAAACUAACUUGUGGACUCCAGGCUGAUAUCUUUGAAUGCAGAGCCCCGAUCUGCAUUCCAGAAAUGGUGUUUGUAGACCAAAUGCCUACAAAAUGGUUAGACCAAAUGCCUAAGGGUUUCAGAUGCAUACACACCUACCAGAAGGUCAAGUUGUAAGCUCUCAGUUCCUCCAGUGCUGUGUCUACUUAUCCACUGCCACUGCCAUGCUGCCUACCAUGAUGGUCAUGGAUGGACUCUAACCAUGAGCCCAAAAGACCUGAAUGGCACUACCAUGUGGUGGUCACACAGCUCCACCAUUGUGAGGAAGGAUACUCCAUCAUGUUUUUGAGUCUUGGGACUGAGGGGGAAAUGAAUUCUUGUCAUUUCCCUGGACAGGCACAGGAAACAGCAUGCUAGGUGGAAGAGGGCGAGCCAUUGGAGAAUCACCUAAGCAUCCAGGAAGACAAAAACCAAAGCCCCAGCAGAACAGAUUAACUCAGGGGCAGACAAAAGGCUGCCAGAUCCCACCUCCAGGUUGACUACCCAACACUCUGGCUCCUGCAAUGCCCAGUGGAGUGAUGACUUCAAGAUCUGCCUCCCUAUCCUAAAGACAUGCCUCUCCCCGUCCAAGCUCCUAGACAUUUAAGCUGCAGCAUUGGAACACUUCAUCUAUUUAGAACUAGAUGUGCCGACAACUGUCUUGUAUAGAGAUAAGGUCAACACUGAGUGGGUGAAGAAGUCUCUGAACAACCAAAGUGAAUGAACUCAAGCUCAGCCAUUGAAGCUCGUUAUCCUACUCAAAGGAAAGUUACUCGACCCUCACUCAGAGGUCGUGCACCGACAUUUAACUGCAGAUCUGACAAGUUCUGGUGCCCAGUAUCUCUGCAGGAAUACCAAUCAGAAGAGGAACAAGCUGGAAAUGACUACCGAAGCAUGCUAACGGCACUAAAAAGUAAUGCUCGGGGAAUGUGAAGGUCUGCAAAGGCACAAAGUGAAAAGGUGUUGUGAGAGUCAGAGCCACUGUGUGAGAAGAAGGCAGCCUGACCAUGCCAUUUAUCCAUUAGCAGCUAUUACUUUUGGCUGCUAGUUAAAGGAGAUGGCUUACACUUAAGAAGCUGUGGGGGUAUUUUUCACACACAUACCAUGACACCCAGAGGAAGACGUUGUGGUAGGGUGGCUCAUUGGUUUUAUUACAAGCCUUCUGAAUUUUGCAUCCCUGUUCUUG
ensembl:lncRNA